AUUGAACGCUGGCGGCAGGCCUAACACAUGCAAGUCGAGCGGAUGAAGGGAGCUUGCUCCUGGAUUCAGCGGCGGACGGGUGAGUAAUGCCUAGGAAUCUGCCUGGUAGUUGGGGAUAACGUCCGGAAACGGGCGCUAAUACCGCAUACGUCCUGAGGGAGAAAGUGGGGGAUCUUCGGACCUCACGCUCUCAGAUGAGCCUAGGUCGGAUUAGCUAGUUGGUGGGGUAAAGGCCUACCAAGGCGACGAUCCGUAACUGGUCUGAGAGGAUGAUCAGUCACACUGGAACUGAGACACGGUCCAGACUCCUACGGGAGGCAGCAGUGGGGAAUAUUGGACAAUGGGUGAAAGCCUGAUCCAGCCAUGCCGCGUGUGUGAAGAAGGUCUUCGGAUUGUAAAGCACUUUAAGUUGGGAGGAAGGGCAGUAAGUUAAUACCUUGCUGUUUUGACGUUACCAACAGAAUAAGCACCGGCUAACUUCGUG
rnacentral:rRNA from 1 species